rnacentral:tRNA from 1 species
GAUACAAUAAUUUAAUGGUAAAAUAUUGAUUUCAUGAGUCAAUUAUUUAGGUUCAAUUCCUAAUUGUAUCC